GAUGAAGAACGUAGCGAAAUGCGAUACGUAAUGUGAAUUGCAGAAUUCAGUGAAUCAUCGAAUCUUUGAACGCAUAUUGCGCUCUUUGGUAUUCCGAAGAGCAUGCUUGUUUGAGUAUCAGUAAACACCUCAACCUCUUCUUGAUUUUUCAAAAGGAGGGUGGACUUGAGCUAUCCCAACAACCUUUACCGGUCGGCGGGCGGCUUGAAAUGCAGGUGCAGCUGGACUUUUAUCUGAGCUAAAAGCAUAUCUAUUUAGUCCUCGUCAAACAGGAUUAUUACUUUUGCUGCAGCUAACAUAAAGGAUAAUUGUCCUCUUUGCUGACUGAUGCAGGAUUUUACGACACUUUAUGUGUUGUUCAACUCGAUCUCAAAUCAAGUAAGACUACCCGCUGAACUUAAGCAUAUCAAUAAGCGGUGGA
rnacentral:misc_RNA from 1 species